rnacentral:tRNA from 2 species
CGGAGCGUAGCGCAGUCUGGUAGCGUACCAGCAUGGGGUGCUGGGGGCCGCGGGUUCAAAUCCCGCCGCUCCGACCA